rnacentral:piRNA from 1 species
UAGGCCAGCCAUAGACACAUUUGUGUC